rnacentral:misc_RNA from 1 species
GCAGUGUAUAGUAAAUGAGAUGGGAAUGAUGAAGCACCUUUGUCACAGGCAGGGCAAAUGGGGAAAUUUCCAGACCCACCCCCAAAUAAAAUAAAAUAAAAUCUAGGUCAGCAAGGGCCACAUGUUUAAUUGAUUAGGUGAUAAAAAGUAACAUCAUUUAUAAAUUGUUUACAACACUGGCACACUUUCAACAUGGAUCAUCGUAGAAUUUGUUCAGGAGGAGACUCGCUAUAGGAUUUCAUCAAUACAACUCUCUGAUAUUAGAGCCAACAGAAUUAGAGAUGUGAUUAUGUAGGAAAAUAUGGUCCCAAAAUAAAUUGAACAGAGAGAAGAUUGAACUAAUGCAGAAGUGAUCUAGAAAAAGUGUCUUUAUGCUUUUCAAGAAAAAUUUGCAUUUUCUGUUAUGUAGCACCAUUGGAG